rnacentral:rRNA from 1 species
UACGGAGGGUGCAAGCGUUAUCCGGAUUUAUUGGGUUUAAAGGGUCCGUAGGCGGGCUAAUAAGUCAGUGGUGAAAUCCUAUCGCUUAACGAUAGAACUGCCAUUGAUACUGUUAGUCUUGAAUAAGGUUGCAGUGGUUGGAAUGUGUAGUGUAGCGGUGAAAUGCUUAGAUAUUACACAGAACACCGAUUGCGAAGGCAGAUCACUAAGCCUUUAUUGACGCUGAGGGACGAAAGCGUGGGGAGCGAACAGG